AGCGAACGCUGGCGGCAGGCCUAACACAUGCAAGUCGAACGAAAUCUUCGGACUUAGUGGCGGACGGGUGAGUAACACGUGGGAACGUGCCUUUAGGUUCGGAAUAACUCAGGGAAACUUGUGCUAAUACCGAAUGUGCCCUUCGGGGGAAAGAUUUAUCGCCUUUAGAGCGGCCCGCGUCUGAUUAGCUAGUUGGUGAGGUAAAGGCUCACCAAGGCUACGAUCAGUAGCUGGUCUGAGAGGAUGACCAGCCACAUUGGGACUGAGACACGGCCCAAACUCCUACGGGAGGCAGCAGUGGGGAAUCUUGCGCAAUGGGCGAAAGCCUGACGCAGCCAUGCCGCGUGGAUGAUGAAGGUCUUAGGAUUGUAAAAUCCUUUCACCGGUGAAGAUAAUGACUGUAGCCGGAGAAGAGGCCCCGGCUAACUUCGUGCCAGCCGCCGCGGUAAAAC
rnacentral:rRNA from 1 species